UAUAGAUAACAAGUUAAACUAAGUAUUUUUUCUGUUUCACAUACAAAACCUAACUGGUGGGUUUGCUUUUUGAUGCUUCAUUACUUGAGUCUACUAAGUGGAUAAGGGCAUGUAAAGUUCAUUUCCAGCCCACAGUUCUUUAAGCAUUUAUUUCCUUGUCAGUGUUACUAUGUCAGCAAGUAUGUGUGGGUGGUAAGGAAGGCCCUGGGAAUACUAACCAUUUACCGAUUAAAUAGGAAGCUGCAAAAAAAUAGUGUAAAUAAGGAAAGGAGCCAUCAGCUAAUCCCAACAUUCUAGGUUAAAAAAAUCAAAGGUUUGUAAGUAAAAACAUGACAGCAUUGCAUAUAUUUUUGACCAGAUUUCUCACAACCUUGAGAUAAACAUUGCCCACAGCGAGAGUUAAUGGUAGUGAAUGCCUUAUAUUUUAAUGUGCUUUAAUCUGGUGUGUUGUCCUCAGUGAAAGGAAUAAAAAGGCUAGGUUAUCAAGAGAGGAAACACAGGCCCUUACGUCUAGCUGCCUUUUACAUGAAUAGUUGCAAGCAGCAUCUUGAGUUCUUGGACUCUGAGGAGUGCAUUGUUUGUUGUCUUUGGCAUACAGAAACGGGUCAACCAGUCUCCAAACAGGGAUUCUUAAAAACCGGAGCAAGAGAUGUAUCCACUAAAGGGGAAUGCGGAUGUUUUUGCAAGCAGGUUCCUCCACUCCCUCCUGGUGUAUCCCCCACAGCCCUGGUAACAUUGUGACCUGUUUUCUACAACCAGUUUGUGCCUAUCCCAGUUGCCAAAUAUAGCACAACUUGAUCUCCUUCCAUUCUUAGAAACAAAGAAGCCCUUUGUUUUUGCCUUUCAAGAUGAUAAAGGGAAUUGUAGUCAUUCCUCCAGUGGCUAAUACCCGCCAGCAGAUCCUGAAAGAUGCCGUUGAUUUCUAGAUGUAUCCUGAUUUCAAGUUUUCUUCAAAAGUGUGGCUACCCAACAUAAACAACCUCUACCCACAUUCCAUUUGAAGUGCUGAAAACUGAAAAGUAUAUGGACUUUGGUGCCUGGCAGAACUGGGUCCUCAUUCCAGCAACGAUCCUGAUUCCCAUACAUUUUCUACUCUGUAAAAUAAAGGAAAUAAUAUAAGGGAAUAACACAGGAAUAAUUGUGCUGUUUCUCUGAGCUGAGAUGCUACACAGAGAUCACGGUGCAGGGCUUUUUUGUUGUUGUUGUUGUUUUUGAGACAGAGUCUGGCUCUGUUGCCCAGGC